rnacentral:rRNA from 1 species
CAAGAUUAAAACUCAAAGGAAUAGACGGGGACCCGCACAGCCGGUGGAGCAUGUGGUUUAAUUCGACGAUACGCGAAGAACCUUACCUGGCCUUGACAUAGAAAGAACUUACUAGAGAUAGUUUGGUGCUAGCUUGCUAGAACUUUCAUACAGGUGCUGCACGGCUGUCGUCAGCUCGUGUCGUGAGAUGUUGGGUUAAGUCCCGCAACGAGCGCAACCCUCGUGUUUAGUUACUAACAGUUCGGCUGAGGACUCUAGACAGACUGCCUGGGUAACCAGGAGGAAGGUGAGGACGACGUCAAGUCAUCAUGGCCCUUACGGCCAGGGCUACACACGUGCUACAAUGGGGUAUACAAAGAGCCGCAAUACCGCGAGGUGGAGCAAAUCUCAUAAAAUAUCUCCCAGUUCGGAUUGGAGUCUGCAACUCGACUCCAUGAAGUUGGAAUCGCUAGUAAUCGUGAAUCAGCAAUGUCACGGUGAUUACGUUCCCGGGUCUUGUACUCACCGCCC